GGGUCGAUGGCGUAGCUGGUUAUCGCAUCUGUCUAACACACAGAAGGUCCAAAACAUCUGUCUU